CCGGAGUGGACGCACCACUGGUGUUCCGGUUGUGUCGCCAGACGCAUUGCCGGGUAGCUAAGUGCGGAAGAGAUAAGUGCUGAAAGCAUCUAAGCACGAAACUUGCCAAGAGAUGAGUUCUCCCUGUUUUUAAGACAGUAAGGGUUGUUUAAGACUAAGACGUAGAUAGGUCUGGUGUGUAAGCGGUGCGAGCCGUUGAGCUAACAGAUACUAAUUGCCCGAGAGGCUUAACUAUACAACGCUCAAGGGUUUUG
rnacentral:rRNA from 1 species